GUAGGUGAACCUGCGGCUGGAUUACCUCCUUU
rnacentral:rRNA from 1 species